AAUAUGGCAUCUUGUUCAGUCUGAAGUGCUUCGUCCAAUUGAUACUGUCGGCUACAACAGAACUCUUUCAAAGGGCUCGGUUUUUCUUUUCGAAUGUCUGCUAGGAACUUUCCGUUAUUUAUAGGGAUGUACCAAUUGAUAAAGCUUACGCUUUUUCGCCUACGUCAUCACAACACUUUGCACCCCAAUGGGUCCACCCCCAAUGUCCGAUCUGAUAUUUGAUGACUCAGCUUUCAAAAUUAAUCUCUCCCAUUUGGAUUAUAAAAAGUAUAUUAGAAUAGAGGAAUGACACUUAGAAUAAGAUGGAUGAGCCUGACAGUUUGACACCGUCUGUCUGUAUACUUCAAGGAGUUGACGGGAGACUACCCUUUACACCUGCCCACUGUCAGACCAAAUGGAUAUUGCCUUGAAAUGAUGUGAAGCUAUAGACAUUCCAAUAAGAUGCAUUACAAAGAAAUGGAACCAUUCAACUCCAUAUAUUGCCAAUGAGGUUAAUAAUUGUCUCUAAAAAAAUAUCCUAAACCUGUAUUUUUACAACAUACAGAUCAUUUGUUCUUAAAUCUCAUUUUAGGUCAUGCAAGUUGUCUCCCCUUAAUUAACCCUUUGCAUUCCAAUCAUAGGACAAGAGACUGAGAAGAGGGAUGGCCAAGAAAGAACUGACAAUGACCCAAAACACACCUCCAGGCUAUAUAAGGGCUAUGUGUCCAAGGAAAGUGAUGAGUGCUGCAUCAGAUGACCUGGCCUCCACAAUCACCCGACCUCAAUCCAAUUGAGAUGGUUUGGGAUGAGUUGGACUGCAGAGUGAAGGAAAAGCAGCCAACAAGUGCUCAGCAGAUGUGGGACUGUUGGAAAAGCAUUCCAGGUGACUACCUCAUGAAGCUGGUUGAGAGAAUGCCAGGGUGUACAAAGCUGUCAUCAGGGCAAAGGGAGGCUACUUUGAAGAAUCUCAAAUAUAUUUUGAUUUAACACUUUUUUUGGUUACUACAUGAUUCCAUAUGUAUUAUUUUGUGUUGUCUUCACUAUUAUUCUACAAUGUAGAAAAUAGUCAUAAUAAAGAAAAACCCUUGUAUGAGUAGGUGUCCAAACUAUUGACUGGUUCUGUAUUUGAAAUAUUGAAUUUGGUCUUCCUGCUAUUAGCCCAUAGAAACCUAUUGAAUAACAGAAUCAUAGUCAAAAAAUAAAUGAAAAGGAAGUACGCUAUAUAUACAAAAGUAUGUUGUCACUCCUUCAGAUUAGUGUAUUUGGCUAUUUCAGCCACACCCGUUGCUGACAGGUGUAUAAAAUCGAGCACACAGCCAUGCAAUCUCCAUAGACAAACAUUGGCAGUAGAAUGGCCUUACUGAAUAGCUCAGUGACUUUCAACGUGGCACCGUCAUAGGAUGCCACCUUUCCAACAAGUUAACUCGUCAUAUUUCUGCCCUGCGAGAGCUGCCCCAGUCAACUUCUUUUAUUGUUUAGUGGAAAUGUCUAAGAGCAACAACGGCUCAGUCGCAAAGUGGUAGGCCACACAAGCUCACAGAACGGGACCACAGAGUGCUGAAGCAUGUAAAAAUAGUCUGUCCUCAACACUCACUAACAAGUUCCAAACUGCCCCAGGAAGCAACGUCAGCACAAGAACUGUUCGUCGGGAGCUUCAUGAAAUGGGUUUCCAUGGCCGUGCAGUGGAAACGCAUUCACUGGAGUGAUGAAUCAAGCUUCACCGUCUGGCAGUCUGACGGACAAAUCUGGGUUUGGCGGAUGCCAGAAGAACGCUAUCUACCCGAAUGCAUAGUGCCAACUGUAAAGUUUGGUGGAGGAGAAAUAAUGGUCUGGGGUUGUUUUUCAUUGUUCGUGCUAGGCCCUUAGUUCCAGUGAAGGGAAACCUUAACACUAUAGCAUACAAUGACAUUCUAGACUAAUUUUGUGCUUCCAACUUUGUGGCAACAGUUUGGGGAAGGCCCUUUCCUGUUUCAGUAUGACAGUGCCCCCGUGCACAAAGCAAGGCCCAUACAGAAAUUAUUUGUUGAGAUCGAUGUGGAAGAACUUGACUGGCCUGCACAGAUUCCUGACUUCAACCACACUGCACCUAAAUUGGAACGCCAACUGCAAGCCAGGCCUAAUCGCCCAACAUCAGUGCCCGACCUCACUAAUGCCCUUGUGGCUGAAUGGAAGCAAGUCCCCUAGCAAUAUUCCAACAUCUAGUGGAAAGCCUUCCCAGAAAAGUGGAGACUGUUAUAGCAGCAAAGGGGGGGGACCAACUCCAUAUGAAUGCCCAUGAUUUUGGAAUGAGAUGUUCAACAAGCAAGUGUCCACAUACUUUUGGUCAUGUGUAUGUUUUGAAAUGUCUGUCCUAUAUCUGAGAUAAGAAAGAUCAGGAAUAUGUUUUUACUGUGGAAUAAACCGUAUACCUUUGACGUGGAAAUGCCCUAUUCACUUUCACAGAUUUUUCGGCACAGUACCAAGUUACCUUCAGACGAGUCCCAUGACAGUGGUGGGGGUCGUAGAGCAAAACGGAGAACACCAUCGUGUUCGUGAGUGUCAUCUUUAAAAGGGUCAUAUUAGUGUGUAGCCCAAACUGUUUAGACUCUAUAGACGUUUUCGUGAGAAGACCGAUUUUCAGGAUGGUCUGACAUAAACUGCUGUAGCUCUGCGACCUUCCACUGCAGAUGCAAAAGGCCAACAUCGGCAGAUGCGGUGGAAGACGCAGCCUAUUCAAAUAACCCAGAUAUCUCUAGCUUAAACAGACAAAUGUGUACAUGGUAGUCUAAACACUUGGUAAAUCUGUUUUAUAGAUUACCACAAAAUUCACAUUGAAUAAAUCUAAAUCCAGAUAGCUGAUGUUCUGAAAGAGCUGCAAAAUCUGGACCCCUACAAAUCAGUCGGGCUAGACAAUCUGGACCCUCUCUUUAAAAAAUGAUCCACCUCUUCAAAGGGGGAGACACUCCAGACCCAAACUGCUACAGACCUAUAUCUAUCCUACCCUACUUUUCUAAGGUCAUUGAAAGCCAAGUUAACAAACAGAUUACCGACCAUUGCGAAUCCCACCGUACCUUUUCCGCUAUGCAAUCUGGUUUCCAAUCUGGGCAUGGGUGCACCUCAGCCACGCUCAAGGUCCUAAACGAUAUCAUAAUCGCCAUCGAUAAGAGACAAUACUGUGCAGCUGUAUUCAUCGACCUGGCCAAGGCUAUCGACUCUGACAAUCAUCACAUUCUUAUCGGCAGACUCAACAGCCUUGGUUUCUCAAAUGACUGCCUCGCCUGGUUCACCAACUACUUCUCAGACAGAGUUCAGUGUGUCAAAUGGGAGGGCCUGUUGUACGGACCUCUGGCAGUCUCUAUGGGUGUGCCACAGGGUUCAAUUCUUGGGCCGACUCUUUCUCUGUAUACAUCAAUGAUGUCGGUCUUGCGGCUGGUGACCUCUACGCAGACUACACCAUUCUGUAUACUUCUGGCCCUUCUUUGGACACUGUGUUAACAAACCUCCAGAUGAGCUUCAAUGCCAUACAACUCUCCUUCCAGACUCACAUUAAGCAUCUCCAAUCCAAAAUUAAAUCUAGAAUCAGCUUGCUGUUUCUCAACAAAGCAUCCUUCACUCAUACUGCCAAACAUACCCUGGUAAAACUGACAAUCCUACCGAUCCUUGACUUCGGCGGUCAUUUACAAAAUAGCCUCCAACACUCUACUCAGCAAAUUGGAUGCAGUCUAUCACAGUGCCAUCCGUUUUGUCACCAAAGCCCCAUAUACUACCCACCACUGCAAACUGUAUGCUCUCGUUGGCUGGCUCCUCGCUUCAUAUUCGUUGCCAAACCCACUGGCUCCAGGUCAUAAGUCUUUGCUAGGUAAAGUCCCGCCUCAUCUCAGAUCACUGGUCACCAAAGCAGCAAGCGCUCCAGCAGGUAUAUUUUACUGGUCACCCCAAAGCCCAUUCCUCCUUCGGAAGCCUUUCCUUCCAGUUCUCUGCUGUCAAUGACAGAAACAAACUGCAAAAAUCACUGAUGCUGGAGACUCGUAUCUCCCUCACUAGCUUUACGCACCAGCUGUCAGAGCAGCUCACAGAUCACUGCACCUGUACAUAGCCCAUCUGUAAAUAGCCCAUCCAACUACCUCAUCCCAAUACUGUUAUUUUAUUUAUUUGGCUCCUUUGCACCCCAGUAUCUCUACUUGCACACUCAUAUUCUGCACAUUUAUCACUCAUGUUUAAGUGCUAUAUUGUAAUUAUUUAGCCACUAUGGUCUAUUCAUUGCACACACUGUAUAUAGACUUUUUCUAUUGUAUUAUUGACGUAUGUUUGUUAUUCCAUGUGUAACUCUGUGUUGUUUGUGUCACACUGCUUUGCUUUAUCUUGGCCAGGUCGCAGUUGUAAAUGAGAACUUGUUCUCAACUAGCCUACCUAGUUAAAUAAAGGUGAAAAAAAUAAAAAUAGCACUGCAGUCACUUUUUUUUCUGAACAUUCUCAUGAUUUUGUUCAGAAACAUCCCCACUUAAUGUUAAUACCUCAAAAAUAAGCUACAUACUAUGUCAAAUAUUCACAUGACGGACAUACGACAGGGUGGGAGGUAGCCUAGCAGAAACAGCAUUGGGCCAGUAACCCGAAAGGUCGCUGGUUUGAAUACCCGAGCCAACAAGGUGAAAAAUCUGUCAAUGUGCCCUUGAGCAAGAGUGUGCCGUAUUACUAUGGCUGAUCCUGUAUAAUGCUUAUACAAAGGUAGGACAGAUAUUUAUUCAGUUCCAGUAUGUAGGUUGAAGCAACAAUAUUGGCAAAGAUGUAUUUUCAGUACUUGAAUCCAUGAGGAACAAACACAAGACGUAGUGGAUAUGGCUAUAGGGAGAAAAGAACAUCACAACUUCCUCUCCAAGGACAGUUCUGACUCAUGCUUCGUCUCCUCCUGAAAAGGAAGGGUAUAUUGACGUGGAGGAUAGACACGGAGUGAGGCACGCAGACACGGGCAGGAUAAAGGAUAAGACACACUUAAGAAUCUCUUAAAUCACAGAAAGUGCAAGACAAAAGCAUGUUAAACAAUUCACUAGUGACCACAUUCCAAAGUGACAAAUAACAGCUUUCGCAAUGGCAAAAUUUCACAAUUUCUGUCACGUUGAGGCUAUGCAAUGCCAAUUGAGAAACCCAGCAUGACAGGCCAAAUUGGUGUGUAGAAAUGUUCACCUUCCUCCAUUCCUUCCAGUUAUUGGGCAUAGGGCCAGAGUUUUUCCCUGACCAGGUCAGACCAAUUAAGGUCUGGUUAUGUAACAGGUGGUUCAGUGAACUACGGUCGCAUGAUGAGUAUCCUUUCCUUGAGACCUGACAACUUGCUCUAGCCUCCAAAGCUAAUGCCUAGGCUUUAGCUCGGCAUGCUAACAUAGUCUUGCAUUGUACAGAUGACCCCGGUUUAACCACAGUUGGUCAGUCAGAUCAGUGGGUCCGCUGGCUUACACAAACGUGGACUAAGGGCACGGACACUUUUAUUGUGUUGGUGCAUGCUGUUAAGUUCAAAGGGACAUUGAAAAGCUUUGACCUUCAUAGAACGAGUAAACAUGAUGGAGAACAGUUGGUCACCAAGUAUCAAAAGACUCAGAGAAUGAUUGACCCUGCUCUCUAUAAGAAACAGCUGACAUUGUAAGGUGAAGUCUUUGGUCUAUUGAGAAAACAUUGAAACACUGUCACACUCGAACGACGUCAUUCAGAGAGACAUAAGUCAAAUGUACAGUGAUGCGUUGAGAGUUUUGUAAGAUUUGGCACAACCUAUUUCUUGACUGAAUAGCCUCUUUUAAAAAAGGGCCGUUAGUGUUUUGUAAAUUAACACAUGAAAUGAAGAAUAUGGCUAUGACAAAUGUGAAAACCUUCACGUUGACUGACGGUAAUUGUUCAUGCCAUGCCUUGUGUAUUUUUUUUCUGAUUUAAAAUACUUUGUCAAAGUAAAGGAUGUAUAGUUGUUGACAUGUAGCGAAUAGAAAAUCUCCUAUAAAUAACACAUGCUGUCCCUUUUUAUACUUCCUGCCUCAAGAACACAACUGGAUAAAUAAAGGCGUAUCAAUUCUGGUCAUGAAUUUGCACCACACCUCUGAUUAUCGUUUAGUGUUCUUCAUUUUGUACGCUUGGCCUUCGAUUACUCUCACCCACACGCAAACAAACUCACACACUAAUAACUCAAAUCUGGAGAACCAGGUGUAUGAACAGUCAAUCAAGAAUAUUUUAAUUUCCUGCACGUACAAAAGGGCACAUGGGCUUUAGAUUUAAGAUCCUACUUUGAAUUCCUGAUUAACAUUAACGAAUGGUAAUUUAAAACCCUUCACAUAUGUGCCUCCACUCAAUAACAUGAAAACCUCAUAACUUUUCUUAAUUAAAUGAAAUACAUGAAUGCAUGUGCAUAGUGAAGCAGAAGUACAUAGCUGGGAGAAAAAAAAAUGCUGGAUUUAGGGGUUGGCGAAUUAUAAUAGAACAUUUUAGGCCAAAUCACAUGUGGUAGACAUGAAUCAGAUAUCUAUACUGUAUAGACAGCUGGACUGGGGGUAAAUGGCACAAAACGUAAGGUUAUAAGCUGUUAAAUAUCGCAAUAUUAAAAACCCAUCAAAUCGAGGAGGGAAAGUCUGAUAGGCUACAGUGCCUUCGGAAAGUUAUAAGACCCCUUGACCCUCCACAGUUAUGUUUCAGCCUUAUUCUAAAAUGGAUUUUU